ACAGAUUGUUUUUCCUUUUUUAUGAGUUUCUCUCAUUGUUCUUUGUUUAGAACACUUCUUAGUUUCUUGGUGAGGUUAUCUCCAAGUUUCGAUCCUUCUUUUGUUGGACCGGUGCAUCACAUCCGGCAACGAUCGAAGUCUGGUAGUAUCUUUGGCCUAUUCCGCAACCCUUAGUGUCACCCCUCGAUCCAUCAGUUCUCAAUCCUCUCGGAUCUGAGUUCAUAUCAACCUUACCGAAAGAGUGAUCCCGUUUUGGGCGUAUCAAGUGGUAUCAGAGCCACUCUUCCGGUAACUCUAUUAUCAUUCCAUCUUCUCAUCUCUCCAUCUUCUUCAAACACUUCUUCUUCUACCUUUCUUGAAUCCGGGCCCCUCAUUACCAU
rnacentral:lncRNA from 1 species